GACAAAGUGCUUCUCAAGUACACGGAGUACAAUGAGCCGCAUGAGAGCCGGACAAACUCAGACAUCGUGGAGUAACAGAGCAGCAGCAGCCACAGAUGGC
rnacentral:sRNA from 1 species